rnacentral:sRNA from 1 species
AAAGCCGUAAUCGCGAAAUUAUGCGAAUU